CCGACCUUGAAAUACCACCCUUUAAUGUUUGAUGUUCUAACGUUGACCCGUAAUCCGGGUUGCGGACAGUGUCUGGUGGGUAGUUUGACUGGGGCGGUCUCCUCCUAAAGAGUAACGGAGGAGCACGAAGGUUGGCUAAUCCUGGUCGGACAUCAGGAGGUUAGUGCAAUGGCAUAAGCCAGCUUGACUGCGAGCGUGACGGCGCGAGCAGGUGCGAAAGCAGGUCAUAGUGAUCCGGUGGUUCUGAAUGGAAGGGCCAUCGCUCAACGGAUAAAAGGUACUCCGGGGAUAACAGGCUGAUACCGCCCAAGAGUUCAUAUCGACGGCGGUGUUUGGCACCUCGAUGUCGGCUCAUCACAUCCUGGGGCUGAAGUAGGUCCCAAGGGUAUGGCUGUUCGCCAUUUAAAGUGGUACGCGAGCUGGGUUUAGAACGUCGUGAGACAGUUCGGUCCCUAUCUGCCGUGGGCGCUGGAGAACUGAGGGGGGCUGCUCCUAGUACGAGAGGACCGGAGUGGACGCAUCACUGGUGUUCGGGUUGUCAUGCCAAUGGCACUGCCCGGUAGCUAAAUGCGGAAGAGAUAAGUGCUGAAAGCAUCUAAGCACGAAACUUGCCCCGAGAUGAGUUCUCCCUGACUCCUUGAGAGUCCUGAAGGAACGUUGAAGACGACGACGUUGAUAGGCCGGGUGUGUAAGCGCAGCGAUGCGUUGAGCUAACCGGUACUAAUGAACCGUGAGGCUUAACCUUACAACGCCGAAG
rnacentral:rRNA from 1 species